rnacentral:pre_miRNA from 1 species
NNNNNNCUCCCUCCAUCCCAAAAUUCUUGUCUUAAAUUUGUCUAAAUACGGAUGUAUCUAGUUACAUUUUAGUGUUAGAUACAUCCGUAUCUAAACAAAUGUAAGACAAGAAUUUUGGGACGGAGGGAAUACUAC